rnacentral:piRNA from 1 species
UGCAGUUGUCCUGUAAAGCGCGUUCGGC